CUGCCGUGAAUACGUUCCCGGGCCUUGUACACACCGCCCGUCACACCAUGAGAGUUGGAAAUACCCGAAGCCUGUGAGCUAACUUAAAGAGGCAGCAGUCGGAGGUAGAGCCAAUGAUUGGGGUGAAGUCGUAACAAGGUAGC
rnacentral:rRNA from 1 species